CCUUAGGAGUAGGGCUACACACGUGCUACAAUGGCGCAUACAGAGGGCGGCCAACUUGCGAAAGUGAGCGAAUCCCAAAAAGUGCGUCGUAGUCCGGAUUGGAGUCUGCAACUCGACUCCAUGAAGUCGGAAUCGCUAGUAAUCGUGGAUCAGAAUGCCACGGUGAAUACGUUCCCGAACCUUGUACACACCGCCCGUCACACCAUGGGAGUGGGCUGCAAAAGAAGUGGGUAGUUUAACCUUCGGGAGGACGCUCACCACUUUGUGGUUCAUGACUGGGGUGAAGUNNNNNCAAGGUAACCG
rnacentral:rRNA from 1 species